GACAGAGGCCCCAAGCGUUAGGCGGAAUCACUGGGCUUAAAGCGUGUGUAGGCGGAUCGUUAAGUGUCUUGUGAAAUCCCACGGCUCACCCGUGGAACUGCUGGGCAUACUGGCGAUCUUGGGCCAACUAGGGGCAGCCGGAACAAGCGGUGGAGCGGUGAAAUGCGUAGAGAUCGGAAAGAACACCGACGGCGAAAGCACUCUGCUGGGCCGACACUGACACUGAGAGACGAAAGCUAGGGGAGCGAAUGGG
rnacentral:rRNA from 1 species